GGACCAAACCCCUCUUGGCAACAGCAGAAGGCUAACAAGGGACAGGAGUAUCAUCAAAAUCAGAUUGAAUAUUUGGGAAAAGAACCCAAACAAACUCUUUCUCUAGGAGGUUACUACAGCACUGCAACAGACGUUGAGAGUUAUGCGUGGAAAAAAAAACAGAUUUUACAAGCAACUGGAAGCAAUUUGUUAUUUGAGUACUGCAGCAUUUGUGCAUGCAGAAAUGACAAUGAAAACCAGAUCCAGCUGUAUUUCCAUGAAUAGUCCCACAUCUCUGUAUGGAGGGAACAACCCUGCACAGCAGUAACAAACAGCCUUCAGUGCUCACAUGGGAAGACACAGCCAAUCUUUUGGAUAAUCUAAGGUCUAAGAGGAGUCACUGUACGUGUUGACACCCAGGUCAGAGGUCUGAGAAAGCACGGUCUGACCCAGAAGGUGACUGACCCCCAAAACGUUUAACAACAUUAAGCCUACUCUAUCCCACAGUAAGAGCAACCUUUAGAGAGACAGAAAGCAAAAUCCUGACAAAAAAGCACCACUAUUUCAGCUGACUGCAGCCUAUACAUCACACACAUUCCUAAUAAUAAUAAUAAUGUUAAUGAUAAUUAUGACAAUAAUAAUAACGAUAAUAAUAACAAUUAAAAACAAAUCUUCAUGCAUUUUCCUGCAAGCUUUACCCAUGAAGCAGGAAAGACAAGAGAAUACAUAAUUAAUUUGUGACUGAAGUACUGCACAGGGUAAUUCAAUUGCAACCUGGUAAAUCUACCUGUGAAAGCAGAUAAGAUUGGAACUCCAGAAGCAUUCCACCUUGAAAGAAGAAAUCUGAUAGAGAAAAGUGCUCCAGGGUUGUUUAAAGUUUAUCUACCGGCAGAAAAGCCUAAGGGGAAAGAGUGAGAAUCAGCUACAGGGAGAGCAGCAGAAGAAAGAGAAGAGAAGAAAAGAAGCGUGAAGUGCACCGUACCUCUUCUGCUGGAGUAAAUAGAUUUCAUCCAGAUGUUUAUCCCAGGAUUUUUUGCCUUGCAGCUUCUGACUCAGUUCACUCCAUAUCCGGGAAUAGAAGGGAUUGCUCUCCCCAAAUAAAGGUACCCCCAUAUCACGUCCCUUUUCCUCUCUUGCCUAGCUGCCUGAAAGCCAGCAAUCCCUA